UUACGGCCAUAUCACGUUGAAACACCGGUUCUCGUACGAUCACUGACGUUAAGCAACGUCGAGUCUGCUCACUGCCUAGAUGGGUGACCGCUUGGAAAUACCAUGUGCUGUAAG